UACGUAGGUGGCAAGCGUUGUUCGGAUUUACUGGGCGUAAAGGGCGCGUAGGCGGCGCGGUAAGUCACUUGUGAAAUCUCUGAGCUUAACUCAGAACGGCCAAGUGAUACUGCAGUGCUAGAGUGUGGAAGGGGCAAUCGGAAUUCUUGGUGUAGCGGUGAAAUGCGUAGAUAUCAAGAGGAACACCUGAGGUGAAGACGGGUUGCUGGGCCAACACUGACGCUGAGGCGCGAAAGCCAGGGGAGCAAACGGG
rnacentral:rRNA from 1 species